rnacentral:tRNA from 1 species
UCCAGGGUAGCCUAGUGGACAUGGCAUCUGCCCGGUAAGCGGAACACAGUGGGUUCGAUUCCCAUCCCUGGAC